CGGAUUGUAGUCUGCAACCGACUACAUGAAGCUGGAAUCGCUAGUAAUCGCGGAUCAGAAUGCCGCGGUGAAUACGUUCCCGGGUCUUGUACACACCGCCCGUCACACCAUGGGAGUCGGAAAUGCCCGAAGUCUGUGACCCAACCUUAGGGAGGGAGCAGCCGAAGGCAGGUCGGAUGACUGGGGUGAAGUCGUAACAAGGUAAC
rnacentral:rRNA from 1 species